rnacentral:rRNA from 1 species
AUUGAACGCUGGCGGCAGGCCUAACACAUGCAAGUCGAGCGGAGCGGCGGACGGGUGAGUAAUGCCUAGGAAUCUGCCUGGUAGUGGGGGAUAACGUCCGGAAACGGGCGCUAAUACCGCAUACUAUCAGAUGAGCCUAGGUCGGAUUAGCUUGUUGGUGGGGUAACGGCUCACCAAGGCGACGAUCCCUAGCUGGACUGAAAGGAUGACCAGCCACACUGGGACUAAGAAACGGUCCAGAAGCCUACGGGAGGCAGAAGUGGGGAAUAUUGCGCAAUGGGCGCAAGCCUGAAGCAGCCAUGCCGCGUGUAUGAAGAAGGCCUUCGGGUUGUAAAGUACUUUCAGCGGGGAGGCGUUACCGGAAGAAGAGGCACCGGCUAACUCCGUGCCAGCAGCCGCGGUAAUAC